rnacentral:rRNA from 1 species
AAUAGAUACCCAGGUAGUCCACGCCGUAAACGUUGGCUACUAGGUGUGGCGGUUAUACCAAUGACUGCCGUGCCGAAGCUAACGCAUUAAGUAUCCCGCCUGGGGAGUACGGCCGCAAGGCUAAAACUCAAAGGAAUUGACGGGUCCCCGCACAAGCGGCGGAGCAUGCGGCUUAAUUCGAUGCAACCCGAAGAACCUUACCUGGGUUUGGCAUCACGGGAAAAGCUGUAGAAAUACAGUGUCCAUUAGGGCCCGUGACAGGUGGUGCAUGGCUGUCGUCAGCUCGUGUCGUGAGAUGUUGGGUUAAGUCCCGCAACGAGCGCAACCCUUGUCCUAUGUUGCCAGCGGUUCGGCCGGGGACUCAUAGGAGACUGCCGGGGAUAACUCGGAGGGAGGUGAGGACGACGUCAAGUCAUCAUGCCCCUUAUAUCCAGGGCUGCACGCAUGCUACAAUGGCCGGUACAACGGGCAGCGACCCCGCGAGGGUGAGCGAAUCCUAAAAAGCCGGUCCUAGUUCGGAUUGAAGUCUGCAACUCGA